UACGGAGGGUGCGAGCGUUGUCCGGAAUCACUGGGCGUAAGGCGCGUAGGUGGCUUGGCAAGCGUGUGGUGAAAGCCCGGGGCUCAACCCCGGGUCUGCCGUGCGAACUGCUAGUGGCUUGAGCACUGUAGAGGCAGGUAGAAUUCCGGGUGUAGCGGUGGAAUGCGUAGAGAUCCGGAAGAAUACCGGUGGCGAAGGCGGCCUGCUGGGCAGUGGCUG
rnacentral:rRNA from 1 species